UUGAUAAGGCUAACUGCGCGAACAGUGCAAACAAUGGCAUAAGUGCUGGCAGAGCUAAUGGUGUUAACCUGAGGAGGAUACCGGAGGAUGGGCGCUACUCUUCCACA